CAUCACUGCGCGAGUCUGACGGAGCAUACCGCGUGAGGGAUGACGGCCUAUGGGUUGUAAACCUCUUUUUUCAGGGAGGAAUCAAUGACGUGUACCUGAAGAAUAAGCAUCGGCUAACUCCGUGCCAGCAGCCGCGGUAAGACGGAGGAUGCAAGUGUUAUCCGGAAUCACUGGGCGUAAAGCGUCUGUAGGUGGUUUAAUAAGUCAACUGUUAAAUCUUGAGGCUCAACCUCAAAAUCGCAGUCGAAACUAUUAGACUAGAGUAUAGUAGGGGUAAAGGGAAUUUCCAGUGGAGCGGUGAAAUGCGUAGAUAUUGGAAGGAACACCGAUGGCGAAGGCACUUUACUGGGCUAUUACUAACACUCAGAGACGAAAGCUAGGGUAGCAAAUGGGAUUAGAUACCCCGGUAGUCA
rnacentral:rRNA from 1 species